CAGUCGCGCGGUAAUACAGAGGGUGCGAGCGUUAAUCGGAUUUACUGGGCGUAAAGCGUGCGUAGGCGGCUUCUUAAGUUGGAUGUGAAAUCCCUGAGCUUAACUUAGGAAUUGCAUUCGAUACUGGGAAGCUAGAGUAUGGGAGAGGAUGGUAGAAUUCCAGGUGUAGCGGUGAAAUGCGUAGAGAUCUGGAGGAAUACCGAUGGCGAAGGCAGCCAUCUGGCCUAAUACUGACGCUGAGGUACGAAAGCAUGGGGAGCAAACAGGAUUAGAUACCCCUGUAGUCCCUGUCUCUUAUACA
rnacentral:rRNA from 1 species